rnacentral:tRNA from 1 species
AAUGUUAUGUCUGAUUUAAGUAAUAAAUUGUAAAUUUAUUUAAGAAAUAUAUAUAUAAAUUUCUAACAUUU